UACGGGGGGGGGCAAGCGUUGUUCGGAAUUACUGGGCGUAAAGGGCUCGUAGGCGGCCAACUAAGUCAUACGUGAAAUCCCUCGGCUUAACCGGGGAACUGCGUCUGAUACUGGAUGGCUUGAGAUUGGGAGAGGGAUGCGGAAUUCCAGGUGUAGCGGUGAAAUGCGUAGAUAUCUGGAGGAACACCGGUGGCGAAGGCGGCAUCCUGGACCAACACUGACACUGAGGAGCGAAAGCCAGGGGAGCAAACGGG
rnacentral:rRNA from 1 species